UCUCCGUUGGCGAACCAGCGGAGGGAUCAUUACCGAAUGCAAACUCAUAACCCUUUGUGAACCUAUAUCUGUUGCUUCGGCGGCUCGCUCUCGGGCGAGCCCGCCGGUAAUAUCAGUAUCUCUGUUUGAACCCGACGAUACUUCUGAGUGUUCUUAGCGAACAGUUAAAACUUUUAACAACGGAUCUCUUGGCUCUA
rnacentral:misc_RNA from 1 species